AGUAAUACAUCGGAACGUGUCUUCUAGUGGGGGAUAACUGCCCGAAAGGGCAGCUAAUACCGCAUGAGACCUGAGGGUGAAAGCGGGGGAUCGCAAGACCUCGCGCUGGAAGAGCGGCCGAUGUCCGAUUAGCUAGUUGGUGAGGUAAAGGCUCACCAAGGCGAUGAUCGGUAGCUGGUCUGAGAGGACGACCAGCCACACUGGGACUGAGACACGGCCCAG
rnacentral:rRNA from 1 species